rnacentral:rRNA from 1 species
AUUGAACGCUGGCGGCUGGCCUAACACAUGCAAGUCGAGCGAGCGGCGGAAGGGUGAGUAAUGUAUGGGGACUGCCCGAUAGCGGGGGAUAACUACUGGAAACGGUAGCUAAUACCGCAUACUAUCGGAUAACCCAUAUGGGAUUAGCUCGUAGGUGAGGUAAUGGCUCACCUAGGCGACGAUCCCUAGCGGGUCUGAGAGGAGGAUCAGCCACAAUGGGACCGAGACACGGCCCAGACUCCUACGGAGGCAGCAGUGGGGAAUAUUGCACAAUGGGCGCAAGCCUGAUGCAGCCAUGCCGCGUGUAUGAAGAAGGCCCUAGGGUUGUAAAGUACUUUCAGUCGGGAGGCGUUACCGACAGAAGAAGCACCGGAUAACUCCGGGCCAGCAGCCGCGGUAAUUC